rnacentral:rRNA from 1 species
AACUGGAGGAAGGUGGGGAUGACGUCAAGUCAUCAUGGCCCUUACGACCAGGGCUACACACGUGCUACAAUGGCGCAUACAAAGAGAAGCGACCUCGCGAGAGCAAGCGGACCUCAUAAAGUGCGUCGUAGUCCGGAUUGGAGUCUGCAACUCGACUCCAUGAAGUCGGAAUCGCUAGUAAUCGUGGAUCAGAAUGCCACGGUGAAUACGUUCCCGGGCCUUGUACACACCGCCCGUCACACCAUGGGAGUGGGUUGCAAAAGAAGUAGGUAGCUUAACCUUCGGGAGGGCGCUUACCACUUUGUGAUUCAUGACUGGGGUGAAGUCGUAACAAGGUAACCGUAGGGGAACCUGCGGUUGGAUCACCUCCUUACCUUAAAGAA